GUGCGGCUUUCUCUACGGUAGCAACCUCGGCCGAUAUAAAGAGCGCGUCGCGGCGGAAUACUUCGGCAUUCGGUGUACAGCCGUCUAGCCCGCCGCAUUUGUAACGUUCCGAGGAUUUCAGCUGUUGCUUCUUCAUAAUCCAUUGUCGUCCGCCACUAAUAAUCAAUUUUGAUGACAUCCACCGCAUGUUAUGACUAAUACGAUUAGAUGUAUAUUUUAGUGAAGGUCGUUCAAGUCUACGCCUUAGUCGCCGUUGGACCGGAAAAUACGGAGGAAAUUCCUCUUUCAUUUAUUACCAUGGCGGUACUAAAAUGAUGUUUUGUACGUAUACAUUAAACACGACAUUAAUAUUGACGCACAACAAUGACGUAGCAGUAGCAGAAACAGCGUAGGUAGUUAGUUUAUAGACGUUGAUUUGAAGUUAAGAAACUAAUUGAAUAAUUUUGCAUCAAAUGAUUUCCUUAGUUUUUCCGUAGUGCGCAACGACCAAGGCUUUGUUGCUUACCUAAUUUCACAGCAAGCGGUACAGAAUUAUAAAGUGAGAGGCCGACCGAACCGGUUCGGUUCGCUUCGAGAUACAACUACUAAAUAUCUAUACCUUGGAUUAUAUAGCUGUUGCUGUAUUUAUUUUAUUACGCGGAUAUUAAUAGAAACGAGCGCUAACAGAGUAGGCAUUAUAAAUUCGCCAUAUAUAUUAUUUUAUUUUAUAUAUAUAAUUUUUGUGUUACAUAUUCUAUGCGACAAACCCGGACACAGAACGGUCAGCCAUACGCCCCAGCCGAGCCAGUUAACGUGUUGUAUCUUAUUGACGUAACGUUGUGGAGGUGGUAUAGGUCGCACAAUUAAAAAUCAACUUUAAUGCCAUAGACUUUGUACACAAUUUACAUUGCCUCGUGACCGUCGCACGUCAGCAGUGAACGAUAAUAAAUAGUUCUCAACACGCAUCAUAGCGGGAAAUCCACGCAGCUGGUCUGUGAUCGGCCCAACGUUAAUUGCUUACCGACUUGUGUAUUAUCUUAUUUUCUAUAUACAUAUUAAACUUAUAAACUGGCAAUAAUAAUGAUAACUAAAUAACAUAUUUGCGCUUCGAUCUGGUAACCUUGCAUCUGUUAAAUGGAAACUAUUGGGAAUAAUAAAUUGUUUAUACAUAUAUUUUUAAGUACCUUUUUUUAUAGAAAUGAAUAGUUAUCGUCUUAAUUUCAUUUCAUUUUUUCCCGGUGAUAAGUAUGAACCGUCUAAAUUAAAUGGAUUUUCGCACAAUCGUUAAAAGUAACAGGAUUUAUAAAAAAUAUAUGUAUAUAUAAAAACCGUAAGCAACCGACGCGAAACAUGAUAUUGUUUUCAAACAAGUUUAAUACGGAAACAAAGUAAGACCUCCCGAGCAUAUGAAUUAUAUUAAAAAAACAACAUAUAGUAGUUGAUUUUACUCAAACAAUAUUUAAAACAAAAAACUGAAAAAUAAAAAAAAAUGGUCAAACAAUAAGUAACGGUAGCCGUCACUUUCAUCGCAGACACAUUUAAAGGCGAUGUGAGCGGGCAGUUAUUCGUGAGGUUUCUACAAUACUAUUUGCAUAUUCACCGACUUUCUAAUAGAAUAUACGGCCGUCUUGUCGCAAUCGUUGGCACUGGUGAGGUAACAGCGAUUCGUUUAAUUCCGUCCAACAAACGUAAAAAAAAACAGAAUUAAUAAUGUUGAAUUGAUAUAGCGAGUGGUAUUUGAAAGCAAGAUGGUUUAAAUUAUCGAGAUACUCCAUACAGAUCGGCUUGAAUAUACAUUGACAUCCGUUAAAUAUUAUCACGAAGGUCUUAUGAUAUUCUAUAUUCGAUUACAGUUUCUGAAGACUACUGAACCACGGUUUGCUCACGCUCAAGGAACAGGUUAAUUGCUUGAGUUGCGUUCUCCAUGUUAACAAAAAUACAACACAUACGUUAAACUAUACAGAUUACUUAGCAAACAAUACAUUGUGUACUCCUCAUUAGGUUAUUGAACUGUUCCAUUAUUAAUUGUUUAACGUGUGCAGCUGAUUAGAUAUAUAUGAGAUAUACAUUCACGAUGUAUGAAAGUGCGUUCUGUUACUGCUUCAUUAAAUCGAUUUUACUAAUAAGUAACAAUGAAACUAAAUACAAUACAUAAAAAUAUUUAUAACAUUUUUAAAACAUAAAUAAUAUAAUUACAUCAAACAAACAUUCUCCGGGCGUGUCUUUAAAGGAUUCCUUUGCCGUUCUCCUAGCCAUAUAAGACGACCUUCCGAACAACGAAGGCUGGCCUCUCACCGGCGACGUGAUUGCAGGCACGGCCUUACGUCGCUGUCACGAGGCUGGGUAUCGAAAUAUCUGCGUAACGGACCUCUUUCCAGCUAUUACCCAAUUUAAUAGAAUUUCCGCCACUUAAUGUAACAAAUUAUUACGAUCCAAUGGAAUUAUCACAAACGUUUCAUGUCCAGUGUUAUUUUUAUAAACAAAACUGUUUCAAUCGUUAAAA